UGUCCAUGCCGAAGGAAUAUAUUUAAUCA
rnacentral:piRNA from 1 species